rnacentral:rRNA from 1 species
GACGAACGCUGGCGGCGUGCUUAACACAUGCAAGUCGAGCGGAAAGGCCCUGCUUUUGUGUGGUGCUCGAGUGGCGAACGGGUGAGUAACACGUGAGUAACCUGCCCUUGUCUUUGGGAUAACUUCAGGAAACUGGGGCUAAUACCGGAUAGAAGCUCCUGCUGCAUGGUGGGGGUUGGAAAGUUUCGGCGGUUGGGGAUGGACUCGCGGCUUAUCAGCUUGUUGGUGGGGUAGUGGCUUACCAAGGCUUUGACGGGUAGCCGGCCUGAGAGGGUGACCGGGCACAUUGGGACUGCGGUACGGACCAGUCUCCUACGGGAGGCAGUAGGGGGGAAUAUGACACAAUGGGCGGAAGCCUGAUGCGGCAACGCUCCGUGCGGGAUGACGGCCUUCGGGUGGUAAACCGCUUUGGCCGGUGACGAAGCGUGAGUGACGGUAAUGGGUAAAGAAGCACCGGCUAACUACGUG